rnacentral:rRNA from 1 species
GGAGGGUGCAAGCGUUGUUCGGAAUUAUUGGGCGUAAAGCGCGUGUAGGCGGUUUGUUAAGUCUGGUGUGAAAGCCCUGGGCUCAACCUGGGAAGUGCAUUGGAUACUGGCAAACUUGAGUACGGGAGAGGAUAGUGGAAUUUCGAGUGUAGGGGUGAAAUCCGUAGAUAUUCGAAGGAACACCGGUGGCGAAGGCGGCUAUCUGGACCGAUACUGACGCUGAGACGCGAAAGCGUGGGGAGCAAACAGGAUUAGAUACCCUGGUAGUCCACGCCGUAAACGAUGAGUGCUAGUUGUCGGCAUGCAUGCAUGUCGGUGACGCAGCUAACGCAUUAAGCACUCCGCCUGGGGAGUACGGUCGCAAGAUUA